rnacentral:tRNA from 1 species
GGAGGGGCCAUGGCUUAGUCGUAAAACAUCUGCUUGUAAUGCAGAACGUCCUAGGUUCAGUCCCUGGCAUCUCCA